rnacentral:rRNA from 1 species
AACUACUGGAACGGUAGCUAAUACCGCAUAAUGUCGCAAGACCAAAGUGGGGGACCUUCGGGCCUCAUGCCAUCAGAUGUGCCCAGAUGGGAUUAGCUAGUAGGUGGGGUAACGGCUCACCUAGGCGACGAUCCCUAGCUGGUCUGAGAGGAUGACCAGCCACACUGGAACUGAGACACGGUCCAGACUCCUACGGGAGGCAGCAGUGGGGAAUAUUGCACAAUGGGCGCAAGCCUGAUGCAGCCAUGCCGCGUGUGUGAAGAAGGCCUUCGGGUUGUAAAGCACUUUCAGCGGGGAGGAAGGCGGUGAGGUUAAUAACCUCAUCGAUUGACGUUACCCGCAGAAGAAGCACCGGCUAACUCCGUGCCAGCAGCCGCGGUAAUACGGAGGGUGCAAGCGUUAAUCGGAAUUACUGGGCGUAAAGCGCACGCAGGCGGUCUGUCAAGUCGGAUGUG